GAUGAACGCUGGCGGCGUGCUUAACACAUGCAAGUCGAACGAAGCACUUUAUUUGAUUUCCUUCGGGACUGAUUAUUUUGUGACUGAGUGGCGGACGGGUGAGUAACGCGUGGGUAACCUGCCUUGUACAGGGGGAUAACAGUUGGAAACGGCUGCUAAUACCGCAUAAGCGCACAGCAUCGAAUGAUGCAGUGUGAAAAACUCCGGUGGUAUAAGAUGGACCCGCGUUGGAUUAGCUAGUUGGUGAGGUAACGGCCCACCAAGGCGACGAUGCAUAGCCGAGCUGAGAGAGUGGCCGGCCACACUGGGACUGAGACACGGCCCAAACUCCUACGGGAGGCAGCAGUGGGUAAUAUUGCACAAUGGGCGAAGGCCUGAUGCAGCGACGCCGCGUGAGCGAAGAAGUAUUUCGGGAUGUAAAGCGCUAUCAGCAGGGAAGAUAAUGACGGUACCUGAUCAAGAAGCACCGGCUAAAUACGUG
rnacentral:rRNA from 1 species